GGGUUGUGAGGUUAAGCGACUAAGCGUACACGGUGGAUGCCCUGGCAGUCAGAGGCGAUGAAGGACGUGCUAAUCUGCGAAAAGCGCCGGCGAGGUGAUAUGAACCUUUGACCCGGCGAUGUCCGAAUGGGGAAACCCAGUGUGAUUCGUCACACUAUCGUUAACUGAAUACAUAGGUUAACGAAGCGAACCGGGGGAACUGAAACAUCUAAGUACCCCGAGGAAAAGAAAUCAACCGAGAUUCCCCCAGUAGCGGCGAGCGAACGGGGAGCAGCCCAGAGUCUGAAUCAGCGUGUGUGUUAGUGGAAGCGUCUGGAAAGUCGCACGAUACAGGGUGAAAGUCCCGUACACGAAAGCACACAGGCUGUGAACUCGAAGAGUAGGGCGGGACACGUGGUAUCCUGUCUGAAUAUGGGGGGACCAUCCUCCAAGGCUAAAUACUCCUGACUGACCGAUAGUGAACCAGUACCGUGAGGGAAAGGCGAAAAGAACCCCGGCGAGGGGAGUGAAAAAGAACCUGAAACCGUGUACGUACAAGCAGUGGGAGCAUCCUUCGGGGUGUGACUGCGUACCUUUUGUAUAAUGGGUCAGCGACUUAUAUUCUGUAGCAAGGUUAACCGAAUAGGGGAGCCGAAGGGAAACCGAGUCUUAACUGGGCGUUAAGUUGCAGGGUAUAGACCCGAAACCCGGUGAUCUAGCCAUGGGCAGGUUGAAGGUUGGGUAACACUAACUGGAGGACCGAACCGAC
rnacentral:rRNA from 1 species